rnacentral:rRNA from 1 species
AUUGAACGCUGGCGGAAUGCUUUACACAUGCAAGUCGAACGAUGAACCUUAGCUUGCUAAGGGGAUUAGUGGCGAACGGGUGAGUAAUAUAUCGGAACGUGCCUUGUAAUGGGGGAUAACUAGUCGAAAGAUUAGCUAAUACCGCAUACGCCCUGAGGGGGAAAGUAGGGGAUCUUCGGACCUUACGUUAUAAGAGCGGCCGAUAUCUGAGUAGCUAGUGGGUGGGGUAAUGGCCUACCAAGGCGACGAUCAGUAGCUGGUCUGAGAGGACGACCAGCCACACUGGAGCUGAGACACGGUCCAGACUCCUACGGGAGGCAGCAGUGGGGAAUUUUGGACAAUGGGCGCAAGCCUGAUCCAGCCAUUCCGCGUGAGUGAAGAAGGCCUUCGGGUUGUAAAGCUCUUUCGCAAGGGAAGAAAACUUACCAUCGAAUAAAUGGUGAGGCUAACGGUACCUUGAUAAGAAGCACCGGCUAACUACGU